GACGAACCGUGCGAACGUUAUUCGGAAUCACUGGGCUUAAAGGGCGCGUAGGCGGGCUGCCGCGUCCGGGGUGAAAUCCCACGGCUCAACCGUGGAACGGCCCCGGGUACGGGCGGCCUCGAGGGGGGUAGGGGCGUGCGGAACUGUGGGUGGAGCGGUGAAAUGCGUUGAGAUCCACAGGAACUCCGGUGGCGAAGGCGGCACGCUGGACCCCCACUGACGCUGAGGCGCGAAAGCCAGGGGAGCGAACGGG
rnacentral:rRNA from 1 species